CCUACGGGAGGCAGCAGUGGGGAAUUUUGGACAAUGGGCGCAAGCCUGAUCCAGCAAUGCCGCGUGAGUGAAGAAGGCCUUCGGGUUGUAAAGCUCUUUUGUCAGGGAAGAAACGGUGGGGGCUAAUAUCCCCUGCUAAUGACGGUACCUGAAGAAUAAGCACCGGCUAACUACGUGCCAGCAGCCGCGGUAAUACGUAGGGUGCAAGCGUUAAUCGGAAUUACUGGGCGUAAAGCGUGCGCAGGCGGUUUUGUAAGUUUGUCGUGAAAUCCCCGGGCUCAACCUGGGAAUGGCGAUGAAGACUGCAAGGCUAGAAUCUGGCAGAGGGGGGUUAGAAUUCCACGUGUAGCAGUGAAAUGCGUAGAGAUGUGGAGGAACACCGAUGGCGAAGGCAGCCCCCUGGGUCAAGAUUGACGCUCAUGCACGAAAGCGUGGGGAGCAAACAGGAUUAGAUACCCUGGUAGUCCACGCCCUAAACGAUGUCUACUAGUUGUCGGGUUUUAAUAACUUGGUAACGCAGCUAACGCGUGAAGUAGACCGCCUGGGGAAUACGGUCGCAAGNUUAAAACCUNAANAGAUAGAGCGNGAGAGNGCGAGACGACGACGAGGAGGAGG
rnacentral:rRNA from 1 species